UGCCAGCAGCCGCGGUAAUACGAAGGGACCUAGCGUAGUUCGGAAUUACUGGUUUAAAGGGUCCGCAGGCGGUCAAUUAAGUCAGAGGUGAAAGCCCAUCGCUCAACGAUGGAACUGCCUUUGAUACUGAUUGACUUGAGUUAUAUGGAAGUAGAUAGAAUAAGUAGUGUAGCGGUGAAAUGCAUAGAUAUUACUUAGAAUACCGAUUGCGAAGGCAGUCUACUACGUAUAUACUGACGCUGAGGGACGAAAGCGUGGGGAGCGAACAGGAUUAGAUA
rnacentral:rRNA from 1 species